GGAAUAUUGGACAAUGGGCGAAAGCCUGAUCCAGCAAUGCCGCGUGAGUGAUGAAGGCCUUAGGGUUGUAAAGCUCUUUUACUGGGGAUGAUAAUGACAGUACCCAGAGACUGAGCUCCGGCUAACUCCGUGCCAGCAGCCGCGGUAAUACGGAGGGGGCUAGCGUUGUUCGGAAUUACUGGGCGUAAAAGGCACGUAGGCGGCUAUUUAAGUCAGAGGUGAAAUCCCGGGGCUCAACCCCGGAACUGCCUUUGAAACUGCAUAGCUAGAAUCUUGGAGAGGCGAGUGGAAUUCCGAGUGUAGAGGUGAAAUUCGUAGAUAUUCGGAAGAACACCAGUGGCGAAGGCGACUCGCUGGACAAGUAUUGACGCUGAGGUGCGAAAGCGUGGGGAGCAA
rnacentral:rRNA from 1 species